GUUUAUGUUACACCUGGAGGAUGAGCACAGAAUGUUCUCCUUGAAAGGCAGGGCCACUGCUGUCAAGGUGUUCCACACUGAAGAUGUGGAAGAGGAUUCAGCUGGAAAUGAGAGCAAGUCCACAAAGCCUUUCUUCCUUCUGAAUCGCGGGCAAUCGGCAGAGUUUGAUGCCAUUUUCAAACCCACCCUGGCUCAACGUGUGGAAAGGCAGAUUGGUGUGUUAGUGG